AUGAGGGCCCCCGCUCAGCUCCUCAGCCUCCUGCUGCUCUGGCUCCCAGGGGGCAGGGGUAACAUCCAGUUGACCCAGUCCCCACCCUCCAUGUCUGCAUCUAUGGGGAGACAGAGUCACCAUCUCCUGCAGGGCCAGUCAGAGUGUUAGCAGCAGUUACUUACACUGGUACCAGCAGAAACCUGGGCAGGCUCCCAGGCUCCUCAUCUAUGAGACAUCCAAGAGGCCCAGUGGCAUCCCAGCCCGCUUCAGUGGCAGCGGGUCUGGGACAGACUUCACGCUCACCAUCAGCAGCCUGGAGCCUGAGGAUGCCGACACUUACUUCUGUCAGCAGGGUAAUCUCCCUCCCACAGGCCUGAACAAAAACCACUUGGGAGCAGCUAUGUGA